rnacentral:rRNA from 1 species
ACUCAAAUGAAUUGACGGGGACCCACACAAGCGGUGGAGCAUCUGGUUUAAUUCGACAAUAAGCGAAGAACCUCACCAAGACUUGACAUCCCGAGAAGUCUGCCGAAAGGUGGAUGUGCCGUAAGGAACUCGGAGACAGGUGCUGCAUGGUUGUCGUCAGCUCGUGCCUUGAGGUGUUCGGUUAAGUCCGUAAACGAGCGCAACCCAUGUCAUAAGUUGUAUUUUUCUUAUGAGACUGCCGGCUCUAAGUCGGAGGAAGGUAUGGAUGACGUCAAAUCAGCAUGGCCCUUAUGUCUUGGGCGACACAGGUGCUACAAUGGCAUAUACAGUGGGACGCAAAUAGGUAACUAUGAGCUAAUCUCCAAAAUAUGCCUCAGUUCGGAUUGAGGGCUGCAACUCGCCCUCAUGAAGCCGGAAUCGCUAGUAAACGUGAAUCAGCCACGUCACGUUGAAUAUGUUCCUGGGUCUUGUACACACCGCCCGU